UCCCACUCCAACUCCAGGCCAUCCCCUCCGCCUCAGACCUCGGUGCAAACCUGCCGCGAAAAUAGCAGCCGCCCGUUCGCUCUCUCCCCACUCCUCCCGCGAUGAGCGACCCGCGGGGCCGCGCCGCCGGUCCCGACCGCGACGGGGACGACCCGCACGACCUCCCGCUCGCCGAGGACGCCAACGGCGAGGAAGCGUGGCAGACGCCCGAGAAAGAGGCGGUUGCCAUGUCGGAAGGGGCGGCUGCGCAGGGUGGGGACACGACCCCGGACGCCGAACCGGAGAGCGAUGACGGAGAGGGAGGAGCGGGCUCCCCGGAUCAGGCGGAGCCCAAUGCGGGCGGGGAGCGCGCACCGCCUGUGGCCGCGGCCGAGGAGCUGGAGGGGAUCGUUAGCGGCGCAAAGGUGGAGACGAACGGCGAGGACGCCAUCAGCCACGACGCCGACGGGGAGGACGACGAAGACGAUGAUGGAGACGAGGAGGACGACGACGAUGACGACGACUCCACCCCGGAUGCGUCCCCGAGGGCUGAGGUGAAGGUGGAGGGCGAGAGCUCCACCGGGAUGGCCCAGAGUGGCGCCGGCCACCACGUGGAGGUGGAACCGGACCCCUUCCUCGACGGCGAUGACUCUGGGACGGAGGAGGAGCAAGCCGCGUUCAUGGCGGAGCUGGAGCGCUUCCAUAGGGAGCACAGUCUCGAGUUCAAGCCGCCCAAGUUCUACGGCAAGGGCCUCAACUGCCUCAAGUUAUGGAGGCAGGUCGCCCACCUGGGAGGCCACGAGCAGGUAACGAUUUGUAAACUAUGGCGCCAAGUCGGAGAGACUUUCAGGCCACCAAAGACCUGCACGACUGUUUCGUGGUCAUUUCGAAUUUUCUAUGAGAAGGCACUUCUUGAAUACGAAAAACACAAAGUCCGGACUGGUCAGCUUCAGAUACCACCGCCUGGUUUACCACCGCCUAGUGGUGCUGACCGUGAGGUGGUCGUGAAUCAAUCAUCUUCUGCCAGAGUUAGAAGGGAUGCUGCAGCUCGUGCUAUGCAGGGUUGGCAUGCUCACCGCCUCCUUGCCAAUGGCACUCACGGGGAUAACAUUUUGAAGGACAAAGAUUCAAUACCACUUUCAAGUCGUGAUAAAAACCUAAAAGGCUUUGGGGUGCUCAAGAGAAAGAAAGCGUCUAGUCCAGAGUAUGCUCUCAAGUCGUCCCGCUCAAAAAUAAAUAAAUCACAGGAAGAUUCUAUGGUCAUUGACGUUGGAGAACCAGCCGACUGGGUGAAGAUCAAUGUGCGCCAGACUAAAGAUUGCUUUGAAGUCUAUGCACUAGUUCCUGGACUUCUACGUGAGGAGGUGCAUGUUCAAUCAGAUCCUGCUGGACGUCUGGUUAUCACAGGGGAUCCAGAGCAGCCUGAUAAUCCUUGGGGGAUCACUCCGUUCAAGAAGGUGGUCAAUUUGCCAUCAAGAAUCGAUCCCCACCAAACGUCUGCUGUUGUCACGCUUCAUGGUCAGCUAUUUGUGCGUGCACCAUUUGGUCAUCCUGAUAUGUAGAUAUGGAAUCAUGUUUACUUCAGUUUUGUUGACUGCGGUGCUUCUUCACCAGUGAUAUUCCUUGAUAUUACUAGGGUUUAUGUCUGUUCUGUUGAGGAAAUAGGAUUUCAUUUGAGCAGAUACAUCUGUCAAGCUGACUUAGCAGAACCGUUCUGUGGUUGUUAUCACCUUGUUUGUUAUUGCAGUAGUGGUCAUAAAAUUAGCUGGUUCAUGCAUGUAUUCCAGUUUUAUAGAGAAAGGAGAUGUUGGUCGUAUUAGGGCUAAUUUGACAUUGUGGUUACUUAUUAUUCUUUAUUAUUUUUCUUCUGUAUUAUAAAUGCCUCUCUGGGUCACUCCAGGGCGCCCUAAAGUUGCAUUUUUGUGCAUAACGCCGGUUCCUCUGGUUUAUGAAGCUAAUUGCUGUCUCUAUGUGAUAGAA